rnacentral:rRNA from 1 species
GACGAACGCUGGCGGCGUGCUUAACACAUGCAAGUCGAGCGAGUGGAUUCCCUUCGGGGAUGAAGCUAGCGGCGGACGGGUGAGUAACACGUGGGCAACCUGCCUUAUAGAGGGGGAUAGCCUUCCGAAAGGAAGAUUAAUACCGCAUAAUAUCAGAUUAUCGCAUGGUAGACUGAUCAAAGGAGCAAUCCGCUAUAAGAUGGGCCCGCGUCGCAUUAGCUAGUUGGUGGGGUAACGGCUCACCAAGGCGACGAUGCGUAGCCGACCUGAGAGGGUGAUCGGCCACAUUGGGACUGAGACACGGCCCAGACUCCUACGGGAGGCAGCAGUGGGGAAUAUUGCACAAUGGGGGAAACCCUGAUGCAGCAACGCCGCGUGAGUGAUGAAGGCCUUCGGGUUGUAAAGCUCUUUGAUCAGGGACGAUAAUGACGGUACCUGAAGAACAAGCCACGGCUAACUACGUGCCAGCAGCCGCCGUAACAC